rnacentral:lncRNA from 1 species
GGGGUGUGGAAAAUGGCUGGUUUCUUGUCAGAUAAUCGUCCUGUGCAAACACUUCGUUCCGUUGUGGAACGUCUGGAGCAGGCAUACUGUGGUACGAUUGGAUACGAAUACAUGCACAUACCUGAUCGCGAAAAGUGCAACUGGCUAAGGGAGAGGAUAGAGACAGUUAACCCCAGAGAGUACACCUAUGAUCGCCGUCAAGUCAUGCUGGAUAGGCUCAUCUGGAGCACACAGUUUGAGAAUUUCUUGGCACAGAAAUGGACAACUGCAAAACGGUUCGGCCUCGAAGGUGCCGAGACACUGAUUCCUGGCAUGAAGGAGAUGUUUGACAGGGCAGCUGAUCUUGGUGUAGAGAGUAUUGUCAUAGGGAUGCCACACAGAGGCAGGUUGAAUGUCUUGGGAAACGUCGUACGGAAGCCCUUGCGACAGAUCUUCAGCGAGUUUAGUGGCGGCACCAAGCCUGUCAAUGAAGGGGAGGGCUUGUAUACAGGGACUGGCGAUGUUAAGUACCAUCUAGGUACUUCAUACGAUAGGCCUACCAGGGGCGGGAAACAUAUCCAUCUAUCAUUGGUCGCAAAUCCAAGUCAUUUGGAAGCAGUCGAUCCUGUUGUUGCCGGGAAGACCAGAGCAAAGCAGUACUAUUCUAAUGAUCUUGACAGGACCAAGAAUCUUGGGGUGCUGUUGCAUGGUGAUGGAAGCUUCUCAGGCCAGGGUGUUGUAUACGAGACCCUGCAUCUCAGUGCCCUUCCAAAUUACAGUACCGGUGGGACAAUUCAUAUUGUGGUCAACAAUCAGGUUGCAUUCACCACUGAUCCAUUGUCAGGGAGGUCUUCACAGUAUUGCACAGACGUAGCCAAAGCAUUGGAUGCUCCAAUUUUCCACGUGAACGGUGAUGACUUGGAGGCAGUGGUUCAUACCUGUGAGCUUGCUGCUGAGUGGAGGCAAACAUUUCAUUCUGAUGUGGUGGUGGAUAUUGUGUGCUACCGUCGUUUCGGGCAUAAUGAGAUUGAUGAGCCCUCCUUCACCCAGCCUAAAAUGUACAAGGUAAGCCCACCCCUCACACGAUUAUGAUCUCUCAUGAUUUAUAUACAUUUCAUUCUGCCCUUGUUUGAGUUCAGCAAUAAUUGACUUAUCACUUGAGUAAUGAUAUCCCUGAUAUUGUGCUAGUUUAUCAACUAGUGGACAAAGUUGUUAGACACUAGUAUUUCACUUAUCUUUUAUUGUAAUGGAAGAAGUAAAACAAUUUCCAUUAGUAAGCCAUAGCAUUGAUUCUGCAUAAUCAAAUAGUGGUAUUAUCCAUGUAACAUUUAUACUUCUACAGUUUUAAAAUUCGUUCUAUUUGCAUCAGGUCAUUAGGAACCAUCCAAGUGCGCUUGAGAUAUAUCAAAAGCAGAUGUUAGAAUCAGGGAAGCUCUCCAAGGAAGACAUUGACAAGUUACACACGAAAGUCAACACCAUACUGAAUGAGGAAUUCAAAAAAAGCAAAGAUGAUAUCCCCAACAAGAGGGACUGGCUUUCAGCUUACUGGACUGGGUUUAAGUCACCAGAACAGAUUUCGCGUGUCCGAAACACCGGGUAAAGGAUUUUUCUAGCUUUGUUUACAAUGUUUUCCAUCCACAUUUUGUGUAUGUAUAACAAUGUAAUGCAUGUGUAACCAUGCAGUGUCAAACCAGAGAUUCUAAAGCGUGUUGGUGAAGCCAUGACCACUCUGCCAGAAAAUUUCAAGCCUCACAGGGCUGUCAAGAAGAUUUUUGAUCUGCGUCGCCAGAUGAUUGAGACUGGGGAGGGUAUUGACUGGGCAGUGGGUGAAGCACUUGCUUUUGCAACUCUUAUAAUUGAGGGGAACCAUGUCAGGUUAAGUGGCCAGGAUGUUGAGAGGGGAACAUUCAGCCAUCGCCAUUCUGUCGUCCAUGACCAAGAAACUGGACAGCACUACUGUCCGCUUGAUAAUCUUGUCAUGAACCAAAAUGAGGAACUAUUUACUGUAAGCAACAGGUAUGAUUUGUGAUCUGCUGCUAAUUUGUUCAGUUAGGGGUCCACAUUGGUUACUCCAGUUGAUUCUUUAGAAGGAAACUUGAAAUCACCAUAACCAGAUGACUUAAACCCGUAUCAGCUAGUUCAGGUAUGAUGUUGCUUUUAUGUUCCACAUAGUGAGAGACUGCAUAUCUGUAUAUGCAAUAAAAACUUAAGGAAAAAACAUGAUCCGCUAGUGAUCAUGUUUUGACAGUGGACAUAUGGCUCUGACCAAUUAUGCUUGUUAUUACCACAGCUCUAGGAAGGAUAAUUGACCCUGCCUUCUUUUUGUUUCUAAGAAUGCUUAGAACAUAGCAAACUUGGUCCGUUGUUAAUUUAUACUGAAGAUUUAAUUUGGGAUGCCAAACCUUUGACCUUAGAGUUGUACUACUAAAUUACUAGCGUUGCCUGCUGAUUCAUUGUCAUUGCAGUUUGUCACACGAUACGUUUCUUACAGAUGCACGUAAUAUCAGCGCAUUAUAAGUACUGAAAUGAUCUAUAUGAGGAGAAAGUAACUAAGGAAACAUCAUCAGUACUUAGAUGGAAAAAUGGUCUUAUUGUGCCAAAAUAACUCAGAGAUGUAUAAGUCUGCAUGAUUGAUUUUGUUGGUUUAGAAUACUGGUUUCGACAUUCUCAUAAUUUUCUUGAACUGUUAAAACUCCUGAAGCAGAAGAAGAAAUUUUGAACCUGUGUUUUAUAUUCUCUUAACAGAUCAAAUUAGUAAUUUCAGAUAGAAACUACUAGGGGUAACUUCUACUGAGUGGUCAUAUUGUAUGUAAAAAGAUAGGCAGUUCCUGACUUCAUCGCUCCUUGCAUGCCCCUUUUAUGGUUGAUCUGGCUUUGUUUAUUAUGACCUGAUGUGUGCUAGCAUUUUAACAGUUCCCUGUCAGAAUUUGCUGUUCUUGGUUUUGAGUUGGGUUAUUCAAUGGAGAACCCAAACUCGCUGGUAUUAUGGGAAGCACAGUUUGGUGAUUUUUCAAAUGGAGCUCAAGUGAUAUUUGAUCAGUUCAUUAGUAGCGGGGAGGCAAAAUGGCUCCGCCAGUCCGGGCUUGUCGUUUGCCUUCCUCAUGGAUAUGAUGGUCAGGGACCUGAACAUUCUAGUGCAAGAAUGGAACGCUUCCUUCAGGUAUAAUUUUGCUUCACCUGCAAAGAUGUGGGCCCGACUAUCUCUUCUGUAUGAAGUAGUUGUAUUAUAUCUGGACAUAAAAGGAACAUUGAUGUGAGCUCUUACUGUUAAUUGGCUCUUGCACAUUUUACUACGACAUGCAUGUACAGCAUCAUAACUGCCAGAAUUAUGCACUAUAAUCUACAUUCUCUUUAAUAUUCUGAUAUCAUUUGCCAAUGAUACUUAACUGUAACCAUAUACCAGUAAAAGAUUGUACUCCUAUUUCUUCAUUUGCAUGCUUUAUGUUUUUCCUGUUAUCACGACCUAGCAAGUAGGAAGGUAAAUAUCCUAGCCUAUAUGAAGUAGAACUACAUUGUGCAUAAUGGCUCAGCAUAUUGUAUUUUACUAGCUCUACUUUUGAUUAGAAGGUAGAAACUACAUCUGGGAUCUGGCUGAUGGAUUUCAGUGUACUCACUGGUUGUAUUUCACAUCAUGUGAGCCUGUAGUCAUGGACAUUUACACUCCCCCACUAUCGAUAUGCUAAAUUGCAUGUUAAAAUAUAUAGAUGCACUCAUGCACAUAUGCAGAAUUGAGAAGUUGUGUAAGCAGGAGAAAAAAAUUACUGGGCCAUGUGCGUUUUAGACACUAGUGCCUUUUUUUUUACCUAUAUUUUUUUAUGAACAUCAGCAAUUAUAUUGCAGAUGAGUGAUGAUAACCCUUAUGUUAUCCCUGAGAUGGAUUCAACAACGAGGAAGCAAAUCCAGCAGUGCAAUUUGCAGGUUGUGAAUGUCACAACUCCUGCAAACUAUUUCCAUGUUCUGCGUCGCCAGGUGAAAAUCUUGAUACCUUUUUUGGUUUCUCCCCUUCUGACCUGCACAACCAUCUUAGGGUGCAUAAACAUCUCUCUUUUUUUUUCCAGAUACACCGGGACUUCCGAAAGCCUUUAAUUGUGAUGUCUCCAAAGAAUCUCCUUCGUCACAAGGAAUGCAAAUCCAGUCUGUCUGAAUUCGAUGAUGUUGCCGGACACCCUGGAUUUGAUAAGCAAGGGACACGCUUCAAGCGUCUGAUAAAAGACCGGAACGAUCAUAAGGACCUUGAGGAGGGAAUCAACCGUUUAGUUCUUUGUUCUGGAAAGGUAUAUUAUGCCACACUUCCUGAUGGCAGUAUUUUCAGAAGAGUUGCAAAUUCACCUCUUUAGACAGCCCUUUUUAUAACUAACUUCCUAUUAUCCAGGUGUACUAUGAAUUGGAUGAAGAAAGAAAGAAAUCGGAUCGCAAUGAUGUUGCUAUAUGUAGAGUUGAGCAGCUGUGUCCAUUCCCCUAUGACCUUAUUCAGCGCGAGUUGAAGAGAUACCCAAGUAUGUUAAAAAAUGCCUUCGGUCAAAUAUUUCCCUGAAGUUGCUACUAGAGUACUCUUUUUUUCUGUGUGAACACAUCAUAGUUUUUAAAGUGGUAUGGCGAGCAGUGGCGACACCCCCUUUUAUAACGCCUAUGGCAUGUGGCGAGAAGACUUCAUGGACACAUACUAACUUAGUAUGGCAGGCAAAUUAAAUUACAGCACUCACUCGCUACCAAAUUAAGUCACAACUCGCAACUUAGCCUAGUAUAACCCUGUGCAAAUACAUAGAAAACAGCUGCAGAAAGUCUCAGGCUCUCAGCCUCGCACAAAAUGAACCAAGGAAAACAGGCCUAUACGGACGCCACAGACCAGUUUCUGUCGCGAGGCCCAAGGCGAUACUCUGGAGGGGCGCCACAUUGUUACAACGACAUUACAAUGACGGUAUAGCGCCGGCUUGAAAACCAUGAAACAAACAAAAGCCGUUCAUGUCAUUGCCUUGGGUAGAGCAAUCUGGAGUACUCUUUUUUGCAUGCCAAUCUGAUAUUUGUUUGGAUAGCAUGGGAGCAUGCAAGGCAAACAGGUAUACAGAACACGGGAGGAAAGAUGCAAAUGGAAAAUAUAUUUCAGAUGAAAAAUUAUUUGAUGAAAUAUGAUGCCCACUUUUAUUUGUGAUGUGGUUCCUUGAUCUUAAAUAAGGGUAUAGAACAAUAGAUAACUCACCAGUGACGUAGUGUACCUGUUUAUCAUUAGUUAAAUAGGAUACUCAUUCCAGUUAUAAAAUGUUUUUCUGUUGAGCAAUAAGCUGGCAGUAAUGAGAACACUUUCAUAUUGUUUGCUUUAGUGAACUUUAGUAAACAAUAAAAUAAACUCAUAUCAUCUUUGUGUUUCUAUUCUGCAGAUGCCGAGAUUGUUUGGUGCCAAGAAGAACCGAUGAACAUGGGGGCAUAUACCUACAUCAACCCUCGCCUGCUGACUGCGAUGAGAGCGCUUGGCCGUGGCACCAUAGAGGAUAUCAAGUAUGCCGGAAGGGCCCCUUCUGCAGCCACCGCUACAGGUUUCUAUUCUGUCCAUGGGCAGGAGCAAACCGAGCUCGUGCAGAAGGCACUGCAGCGAGACCCUAUCAAGUGUCCGUUUUGAAUCCGUAGAUGCUCCGAAUAGCCAUCAGAAUCUCUUGAGUUUGGUGAAUAAUCGUUUUGGAUGUAUGGUACGGCACGUUAUAAACGGUCUGAGGUCCAUCUUGGACAGCAAUUUUGUUUUCUGCAUCGAAGUUUUCAUUUCUGAGCUUGGUUCCGCUGCACCCAUGAACAGGUAGCGAAAUAAGCUUCAUCACCACAUUCUAAUAUUUUCUUAGACACGCCACAUUGUGAGAUUUACCUUGACAUUGUAAUAACAAAGGGUGCAUCUUCUACUAAUAACAAAGGAGUAUAUUAGUAGAAGGUGCAUCCUUUGUUAUUUUACUACACUCGGACAACAAAAUUUUGGGUUCUUCAAAGUGCUUCUCAUAAAAUUUUGGUGUUCCAUAGGUAUGCCACUCUGGUUUUUCAUUGGAUGAUUCUUGAAACUUGCUUUCAGUGAUCUGUGAUGUGAACUCGGGUCAGCAAAUUGGGGUAUUCGAUAACACGGCCUCUUCAAUGGAUUGUGUUUGUUUGUGUUAAUUUUACGAUUUGAGUAUAGUAGUUUUGAUACUUCGAAUGGCAUUCUCCGUGCACGCUAAGUGUAACCAUUCUACGGCUUGAGAGUUACACUAAAGGUACCACUUUUAACGAUUUUUAUGAGCAAAAUGCAUGGCUUGAAAAUUAUAGCAAAAACGCUUACAAGUUAUGUGCAACUAAGAUAAAGAAAUACGUUUGCUCGGCCUAGACGCUGAGUUGGCACAUCAACAUAGACAGAAUGACCCGUAAUAGGGGCAAUGCCAACAAUGCAAAAGGGCCCCUCAAAUGCUUCGCCUUGACCAUUAUCUCCUUAGCCACUUCUUGAUCGUGAUGCGGUAGCCAGUGGAGAAGAUGAUGGCGUCUAAAGCGUGUCGCUCACCGCCGCAAAUUCCACCAUGUUGCCAUCUCUCCAUGACCGGUAACACCUAGAUCUGGUUGGUCUUGCUCUUGUUGCAUGUGCCGACGUCGAUUGAUCGGGCACACGUUGCUUUGGAGUUCUCGGCAAAGGGCCCAAGAACGGGUCGCGGGAGGUCGUAGUUGAAAGAUCGAAAGAUAGGUACGGUCGGUGAGGGAGUGGUGAAUAUCCGACUAACAAAAUUUACUUUUUUUUUUUCAUUUUUAUGGGAUACAAGUAUUAAUACAUGGUUCACUAAAACAUCUAAACGAUGAACACCCCUAAUAUGAUGCAAUAGCCGAAGCACGAGCACAAGUAAUAGAUAAUCAAUUGAAACUUGCUUGGUAGUCGAAGCACAAGAUAAACAAUUAAAUUUAGCAAGUAAGUAACGGGCAAGAAUGAUAUCACAGGGGGAGACGAAAAUUUUAUCGAAGUUCCACUUACUGGGGUCAGUAUACGUCUCCGUUUGGAGGAGUGCUCUACCACAAAGGUAGAGGCGCCACAAAGGCUCACUCUAUUCUCCAACUCACCACACCACAAAGGUGGGAUAAGCUUUCACAAUACCACAAAGGUGAGGUGAGUUCCACUAGUGGCUUUCUUGAGCGUGAACGCCGAACCCUUACAAACAAGGAGAAUCCUCAAGCACCUCCUCACAAGAUUGGAAGUCUUGAAAAGACACCUUCAGUUAGGAAUCCCAAAAUCCCAAAGUAACAAAAUCCACAAAGAAAACAAGGGGAAUCAACUUUUCAAUUUGGUGAAACCCUAAAUCAAGAUCUUCUCCUUCAAUCCUCAAAGAAUCAAGAGUGGGGAAGCACUAGUGAGGGAGAUCUAGGAAUUUGAAACUCUUGUAUUUGGGGGAGAGAGGAAUAGCUCGGUGGAGAGGAAGUCCCAAGGAAGGGGACGACUCCUAUUUAAAGGGCGUCUCAAGAUCUGACCGUUAAGUGAAUUUUGCGCAACCGGGUGGUAGAGAGGUAGCAGAGAGGUACUACCGCCAACGGGCGGUAGUACUGCUCCGGUACCACCCCACUACCGCUAGAAGACAGUAGCGUUUAGGUGUGGUUCCGGUACGGGGACGGAACUACCGGCCCCGGUACUAACGGCAUAGAUAGAGCCGCACUGCCGCACUAGAGACAUUUAGACACUAAUCUCUUAGGCUAAGAUUAUGAGGUGAUCUCUCUCCCACUUAGGAAACGGCUUUAUGUGGGUGCAAAUAGUACAAUUGUGUACCUGAAGUUGAUUCACCCAAACCUUUCCCAUGUGGACUCCUUUUUAAUAGUACGGAUUUUCUACGACUCAAUAUAAAUAAAAAGCCGUAAAUCCUUCUACGCUUCUUUCCUUUUUGAGAGCAACGAACCUUCUUGUGCCAUUUGAUCUCACAUCUGAAACACUCAAGCACACGGUUAGUCCACGAGUCAUGUUGUCAUUAACACCAAAACACUUAGGAAUCAAAAUGCCCUUUCAGUAGUUGGCGGUGUCAUUGCUAGAGACUCGGUGGCACAUGAGCAGCCCUAGCUUCUCGAUGGGGAGGACUUGGGUGGAGCGUCGAGGUUGUCCGUGGGAGCGAAGGAGCGACAGCCAAUGGGGUAGAUCCUCAUGUUGAGCAUGCCCAGGACAACGUCUGGUGCUGGGCGCCGCUAGGAGGAGCCCAAAGGCCUUGUUCAGGCGGACUAAUGUUAGAGUGUGGUUCAUAUAGAGGCGGCGUGACUUGUAAUGGUGGAUGACCAGCAUGUUGAGUGCCGUCACUUGCAUUGCCUAUUCUGGUAAGCCGUGCCGCGACGUUCGUACUGGUGUGUAUAGAAAUAGAUAAGUUGUGGCACGACUAGGGCAACUAGCCCGAGACGAAGCAAACACGUCCAAAAAUUCAAAUUUUGCCAUUUAGCCCUUCAAAAAAAAUAUACAUGAACAUUCUGUAAAAGAAAACAACCUAUUUUCGUGCCAAAAUAUCUUGCCACAGGCCCACGAGCCAUUUUGUAUGAGAGUGCAAGCAUAAUUUUUUCUCACCACGGAUGCGCAUAAUUUGCAACAUGUAAACGUGUUUGCUACUCCGUACAAUUUUCGUGUACAUUGGUCAAUCAUUAUCCUCGAUUUUUAUUAACGCACAUUCUUGUAUGCGAAAAUCACCCGGAAAAUGUCAAAUACACCGCCGCACGGCCGCAGUCCGUGACCUGACCUGACCUCCUUCUUCUGGUCCUUCCUUUCUCAUCUAGUCAUCUUCCCUUUUCGACGGCGUCCUGGAAGGAAUCCUCCUGCCCCCGUUCCACCGAAGGACGCCUGGAGAGUUCUCCUCCUCCGGCCUACUGGACUAGCUCGGAGUGUAGAUCCAUCCGGAAUUGGGUAAUUUCUUUGGUUGCUGAAGCCCUAAAGUACUUCGAUCGAUCCGGUCUUCUCUUUGGUGUGCGCAAUUUAAUCGAAUUCUCUCUUCCUGCGACGGAAUUCUCCAAUCCGUCCUCUUUUUCUUUUGCGGCUAGGUUUGGCGUUGAGAGGGGAAAUUCGAUCCGGAAAUGGGGUGGUUCCGGGCCGCGUCGGGUUUAGCCCGGGUGGCGCUGCGAAGGAACCUGUCUCGUGUCCCGGCGAGCCCGUUCGCCGGCCCCGCGCCGCGGUACUUCCACUCGACGCGUCCCCGGCGAUUCGCUGCGCCAGAGCCCCGCGCCGUGCCGCUGUCGCGCCUCACCGACAGCUUCCUCGAUGGGACGAGCAGCGUGUACCUCGAGGAGCUGCAGCGGGCGUGGGAGGCUGACCCCAGCUCCGUUGAUGAGUCGUGGGACAACUUCUUCCGCAACUUUGUCGGGCAGGCCGCCACCUCUCCUGGUAUAUCCGGGCAGACGAUCCAGGAGAGCAUGAGGCUGCUGCUGCUCGUGAGGGCGUACCAAGUGAGUGGGCACAUGAAGGCGAAGCUCGAUCCUCUUGGGCUGGAGGAGCGACCGGUUCCAGAUGUUCUGGACCCGGCAUUCUACGGGUUCUCUGAGGAUGAUUUGGAUCGGGAGUUCUUCCUUGGGGUUUGGAAGAUGGCUGGUUUCUUGUCGGAGAAUCGCCCUGUGCAAACACUUCGUUCUGUUGUUGAACGUCUGGAGCAGGCGUACUGUGGCACCAUCGGUUACGAGUACAUGCACAUACCUGAUCGCGAAAAGUGCAACUGGCUGAGGGAGAGGAUCGAGACAGUUAACCCCAGGGAGUACACCUAUGAUCGUCGCCAGGUCAUGCUAGAUAGGCUUAUCUGGAGCACACAGUUUG